AUGAUGGGUUUUAUGUAUUUUUUUUUUAGGGCGUUACAUAUCAUCCCAAACCAACAUAGCCUUGAAAGGUCCUCCGCCUGCGACGCCGGCAAGAAGCUUCUAGUCUUUGAAGUCGUCUCCUUUAGCUUCUUUCUCUUCUCCUCCUUAGUCGCUGAGGGCCUCAAGCUUGCCAUCAAUCUCUUGAACAGCAAGGAUGUCGAUGAGGCAUUUCGGGUCAAUCAGUGGUCUUAUGCUGUUUUCUGGAAGAUUGGUUGCCAAAACCCUAAGUUUUGGGCAUACUUACUGUUUGGUUACUAGAAAAGUGGAGGGAAAGGGGAAAAGACUAAGGGUUUCUUCAUGUGGUAUGCAAAAAUGAAAAUUUUCUUUCUUUUAAUCGUUCUUGUACCUAUUCUGCAUCUGGGUUUCUUCAAGUUUUUGCAGAUGUUUGAUUCACUUUUUGUUUUCACUUGAAAUCUGAAUUUGUUCAUCUGGGUUUGCUUGCAUAUGUACAUAUCAGUUGGACUUGAUUAUGUUCUACAUGUUGUCUUUGUUAAUGUGCAUAUCAUGCAAUUGGAUUUUGAUCUCAAUUCCCAUAUAACAUUUUAUUUUAGUAGCCUAAGAAAUUUGAAGAUGUUUUAGAGAUUAAUGGGUAACAAGUAUGUAGAAUUAAUCAGUUGAAUUGUUUGUAAAAAUGAUAAUUUAAACUUGACAAGUGAAUCCUUUGCUUGUUUGCUUUGUGUACUGUCUAAAUGGGCUUAAAGCAGUUUUUCUAUCACCAUAGUGCUCAAACAAAAAAAAAAGAAAAAAAAAAAGAAAAUUGUGUGUAGCUCUUUCUAUUUCACUGAUUUCUUUGCCCUGUGUUUCAAGCAUGUAUUUUUCAAGAUUUUCUCUUAUCCCAGUGCAGUUUUUAACUUUCUGGUAUGUUUCCACUAUGCAAGAUCACUUAGAUGUUCAUUUGCAUAUGUGAUUUAACCAUUGAAGUUUUGGGCAAGUAUGACUUUUUGUAAUGGAGCUAUGCUACAGAGUUUGAAUGGGCCAACAUGCCUAGCCCCUUUUCUAUUUUUAAUUUGCUACGGUUCUUAUCAAUUAACUUUAGUGUCAAAGGUUGAAGUUGAAUCACAGUCUGCUAUCUGCUAUGCCUCUACUAUAUAUUUUUGAAGCAGAAAAUUUGUAAGGUUCUUUUUCUGUAAUAAAAAUUUAUUGACUCUAUCGUAAAUUUGAUUGCUGAUGUUGGUUGAAAAUCUAGACUAUUUUUGAGAUGUGAAUAACCAUUAUGCAGUUCUUAUAUAAUGAAUUUUUCUGUAAUUGUUUUUUAUAUAUGUCAUUUGGUCUCAAUAAGAGUAUGAGCUGCUCUUACUUGCCAUUGUUCUAACAGACUAACCUAAAUCCAAAUUAGAUGUAACAAGAAAAGUACCACAAUUGUUAUGCUUGUCCCUUACAUUUCAAUAGAGUAUUGUCCUAUCGUAUUGUCUCUUAAGUAUAUUUUUCAUGUUUUUUUGUUUUUUUGAAAAUGUAAUAAUUUCAUUAAACAUUUAGCAAGAAUUAAGAAAAUUGCUUAAGAAAACUGUCUGUGUUGUUGGCUACAUGUUGUAUGUGCUUUUUAUGCUAUCUGCACCUGUUUACGUUGCGUUGUCUUUGUUGCUGGUUCUGGUUUGCUGUUUAUGCUACUAGUGCUGGUGUUGAUAUGUUAUAGUGGUGUUAGCCAGAUAUAGUUCUGCUGUUCUGCUGACCUGUGUGCUGGUGUUGCUUAGUGCUAGUGCUACGUAGUUGACCUAUGGUUGCCGUUGUUACUGGGUUUUUUUUUUUUUUCUAUUUUGCCACGCUGCUAGCUUCUAUACAGGUGUACCUUGCCAAAAGUUAAACUUUUGAACUUUGAAGUGACCCCAACAGAUGAAGAUUGUACAGUUGAGAUAUUAUCGUGCAAGAUAUCGAUUGAUUUUCCAGAUGAUGGUGCAUGGAAAUAGUUUCAUAAACAGCUGCAGCAUUUCCCAAUGUUGUUAACAACAAUAUAGGAGUAUGAGGAGACAAGUGAAGAACCAGUGCAAGCUGCCUUGAAGAAAGUGAACAACAAGAAGUUGAAGAAGCUGAAGAUAAAGAAACACUGGUAGAUACACAACAGGAGACUAAGCCUGAGCUUGAGCCUAAGGAGGAGGAAGUUCCACCGUUGAUAUCAACUGACCAAACUGAGGAUCUGUUGGGUUUAAAUGAAAUAAAUCCUAAAGCUGCCGAACUAGAAGAAAGUAAUGCAUUAGCACUUGUUAUAGUUCCACCUGCAGGAGAUGAAGAGUCAGUGUGAUGAGAAAAAGUCUGAUUAUAUCUUUUGUAAGACUAGAAUAGUCUCUAUAAAUAGUUAGUUUAUUCAUAUGCUUCUGCGGUUUCUGAAUUAAUUUGUGUUUUCAUUUUUCAGGUCAGAAAUUUCUUGGAGGGAUGCAAAAUAUGGGUCAAAGAACUAAAUAACUUAGUUUGUUAAGUUUUUUCAUUUUUUAAUAUAUGUAAGCACAGUUAAAUUUUUUUUAUUUAAUUCAUUUGUAUAUACUUUUAAACAUUUAAUUCAAUUUAUGAAAUAUAUGAUAUU